rnacentral:rRNA from 2 species
CGUGGGAAUAUGCCUUUCGGUUCGGAACAACUCGGGGAAACCCGUGCUAAUUCCGGAUACGCCCUUACGGGGAAAGAUUUAUCGCCGAAAGAUUAGCCCGCGUCCGAUUAGCUAGUUGGUGAGGUAAAGGCUCACCAAGGCACCGAUCGGUAGCUGGUUUGAGAGAACGACCAGCCACACUGGGACUGAGACACGGCCCAGACUCCUACGGGAGGCAGCAGUGGGGAAUCUUGGACAAUGGGCGCAAGCCUGAUCCAGCCAUGCCGCGUGAGUGAUGAAGGCCUUCGGGUUGUAAAACUCUUUUGGCGGGGACGAUAAUGACGGUACCCGCAGAAUAAGCUCCGGCUAACUUCGUGCCAGCAGCCGCGGUAAUACGAAGGGGGCUAGCGUUGUUCGGAAUUACUGGGCGUAAAGCGUGCGCAGGCGGCUUCUCAAGUCAGGGGUGAAAGCCCAGAGCUCAACUCUGGAAUUGCCUUUGAGACUGAGUGGCUUGAGUACGAGAGAGGUGAGUGGAAUUCCCAGUGUAGAGGUGAAAUUCGUAGAUAUUGGGAAGAACACCGGUGGCGAAGGCGGCUCACUGGCUCGUAACUGACGCUCAUGCACGACAGCGUGGGGAUCAAACAGGAUUAGAUACCCUGGUAGUCCACGCCGUAAACUAUGAACGCUAGCCGUUGGGUAGCUUGCUA